CCUACGGGUGGCAGCGGUGGGGAAUAUUGGACAAUGGGGGCAACCCUGAUCCAGCCAUGCCGCGUGUGUGAAGAAGGCCCCCGGGUUGUAAAGCACUUUCAGUGAGGAAGAACGCCUGGUGGUUAAUACCCAUCAGGAAAGACAUCACUCACAGAAGAAGCACCGGCUAACUCCGUGCCAGCAGCCGCGGUAAUACGGAGGGUGCGAGCGUUAAUCGGAAUUACUGGGCGUAAAGCGCGCGUAGGUGGCUUGAUAAGCCGGUUGUGAAAGCCCCGGGCUCAACCUGGGAACGGCAUCCGGAACUGUCAAGCUAGAGUGCAGGAGAGGAAGGUAGAAUUCCCGGUGUAGCGGUGAAAUGCGUAGAGAUCGGGAGGAAUACCAGUGGCGAAGGCGGCCUUCUGGACUGACACUGACACUGAGGUGCGAAAGCGUGGGUAGCAAACAGGAUUAGAUACCCUUGUAGUC
rnacentral:rRNA from 1 species